rnacentral:rRNA from 1 species
CGCCUCUUGCAAAACUUAUAAAUCAGAGGUCUCGCCUGCCCUGUGACUAUAUGUUUAACGGCCGCGGUAUUUUGACCGUGCAAAGGUAGCGCAAUCACUUGUCUUUUAAAUGAAGACCCGUAUGAAUGGCACAACGAGGGCUUAACUGUCUCCUCUUUCAAGUCAAUGAAAUUGAUCUCCCCGUGCAGAAGCGGGGAUAUGUACAUAAGACGAGAAGACCCUGUGGAGCUUCAGGCACUAAAGCAGAAUAUGUCAAGUACCCCAGACUAAUGAUUGAAACAACUUAUAACCUGCCCUAAUGCCUUCGGUUGGGGCGACCGCGGGGAAAUGAAAAACCCCCAUGUAGAAUGGGAGCACAGCUCCUACAACUAAGAGUCCCCACUCUAAUUAACAGAACCUCUGACUAACAAGAUCCGGCAAUGCCGAUCAACGAACCAAGUUACCCCAGGGAUAACAGCGCAAUCCCCUUCUAGAGCCCGUAUCGACAAGGGGGUUUACGACCUCGAUGUUGGAUCAGGACAUCCUAAUGGUGCAGCCGCUAUUAAGGGUUCGUUUGUUCAACGAUUAAAGUCCU